AGGUGUCUGUUCAUAUCCUCCACCUACUUUUUGAUGUGGUUAUUUGCAUUUUGGGUGUUGAGGUGUGUGAGUUCUUUAUAUAUUUUGUAUGUUAACCCCUUGUUGGAUAUGUCAUUUAUGAAUAUAUUCUCCCAUACUGUAGGAUGCCUUUUUGUUCUACUUUUGUCCUUUGUUGCACAGAAGCUUUUUAGUUUGAUGUAGUCCCAUUUUUUCAUUUUUGCUUUUGUUUCCCUUGCCCGAGGAGCUGUGUUUAGAAAAAAGUUACUCAUGUUUAUAUUCAAGAGAUUUUUGAAUUCAAGAGGAUUUUGAAUUUGGAGUUAAUUUUUGUGUAUGAUAUGAGAUACAGUCUAGUAAGAUACUCACCCCGGGAGAGGUAUUGGAACUGAGUACAAAUGAGGGAGCAGGUACUAGGAAUUGAUGAUAUAAAGCUGAGUAAGAGGCAGUCUUUGCCUCAUGGUUAUAUAUGGAAGAUAGACAAAAUGGUACAAUACAGCAUAAUAAUUGUUAUGGUAAGUAUUAUUGUAGCCAUUUGAGGAGUGUAAUUUGAUGGUGGAGGGUAGUGGCACCAACAAAUGUAUCAGAAGACCCAGGUUAGAAAUGUGGGGGUCAUUUUUGGUUUGUGUUCUUGGCUUAUAUCCAAGCAUCACUAAAUCCUGACUAAACUGUCUCCUAAAUAACUUUCAAAUGAGAGAUUUCAUAGUCAUUCUAUGAUUUAAAAAAUAUUUUUAAGAUACUUAUAAGGGCGGUUUUUGUUUAUUUAGAUUUUUUGUUCUGCUAGGGGAACAUACUGUCAUCUGGAUAUGUGAUCUCAUUAGAUUUUAGUUAAAUAACAGCAGAAAAUUGAAGCCAGUUUGGAUAGGGAGAAGAUAAAAAUGAGAGAAGCUGAAAUGUGUUAAGAUUAAAGUUACAUACGGUUUUGUGCAAUUAGGUAAUACAUGUAUUCCAGUAUACGGAUAUGAUGAAAAUUUAAGAAUAUGAAAUUUUGAUAGCUCUUUCUAAGUUGUUUUUUAAUGAAGUGCAGUUAAUUCUGUGCAACAGUGUAUAAAAGUGCCUGUUUCCUCACAUACUUUUGCAAUGCUAAGGAUUUCAUAAAGGCUAUGUUGGUUUUAAUCCACAGCAAUCAGUUAUACCUAUUGCAGUUCAUAUUUAUAUUUGGUAGCAAGUGUCCAGUGUGAUUAUAAGAAUAUGAACAUAAAGCAUUUUUUCCCUUGAUAUUUGUGCUUUAAGCAAAUACACAGAUUGGAGUUUUAGUUUAAAAACGUUUAACUUUCUGAAUAAUAAAACUCUAAAAGAACAUUCAGAAAUAAAAUUGUGUGAAACAGCUAUUGUUAGUAAGCAGUUUCUCUCUCGUGAAAAAGAGUCAUAUUACAGUUAGUAUGAGAUCUAUUCUUUGGGCAGCUGGAAAGCAGGACAAGGAAAAAUCAUUCUCCUGUUGUCCAGUAGAAAGUACAUUGUGCCCUUUAGGACCAGACUUGGGUGUUUUUUCAAAGGAUAAUGCAUUCCACACAGGUGAGUCAGUCUUUUGUGUUCUUACCAGGUGCAUUAUUGAUUUCCAUGAUGGCAGUGUAGGUGCGCUCAUUCAACAGCAGCUUUAGUGAGUUCCCCAAAAGAGCAUAAAGAAAAUAACCAGAGAUUUUCACAUUUUGAGUUCAAGAAAAUGACUUUCUUCAACUCUUUUGGCUAUUGUACUUUUUCUUGCUAGAUGUUUGUGAACAGUGGUUCCU